UACGGAGGAUCCAAGCGUUAUCCGGAUUUAUUGGGUUUAAAGGGUGCGUAGGCGGCCUAUUAAGUCAGGGGUGAAAGACGGUAGCUUAACUAUCGCAGUGCCUUUGAUACUGAUGGGCUUGAAUACACUAGAGGUAGGCGGAGUGUGACAAGUAGCGGUGAAAUGCAUAGAUAUGUCACAGAACACCAAUUGCGAAGGCAGCUUACUAUGGUGCAAUUGACGCUGAGGCACGAAAGCGUGGGGAUCAAACAGG
rnacentral:rRNA from 1 species